AAUUAUAUUGUAUUUCACAGCCUUUCUGGCCAACUGGAUCUGGAUGUGCCCGAGGAUUUUUGAGCUGUUUUGAUGCUGCUUGGAUGAUCCGGUCAUUAUGUUCAGGAAAGAUGACUUCCUUGGAGGUGCUAGCAGAAAGAGAGAGCAUCUAUCGCCUUUUGGCACAAACAACUCCAGAAAAUCUUAGUAAAGAUCACUCUUCAUAUACACUGGAUCCAGCAACAAGAUAUCCCACAAUUAAUGUACGCGCAGUGCUACCCUUUCAAGUACGCUCCCUUUUGACACUGAUGACGCUGCCCACCUUGAGGAGGUUACCAAUCCUCACCUAGUCAAUUCUGACGAACUACCAAAGAAGAGGAAAAGAAGAGAUUCUUUUAUACAUCCUGAUACUUUGCUGGUGUGGUGCAAGAAGCAAGUUGCCCUCUAUGACUCUGUUCACGUAGACAAUAUGACCACCUCCUUUAAGGAUGGUCGGGCACUGUGUGCUAUUAUUCACCGCUACCGUCCGGACUUGAUUGACUUUGAAGCCUUGCAGCCAGAAGAUAUUGCUCAAAACAACCAGCUGGCAUAUGAUAUCCUGGAACGUGACUUCGGGAUCCCUCCUGUUAUGACGGGUGCUGAGAUGGCAGAAUGUGACGUGCCAGACAAGUUGAGCAUGAUAUCCUAUCUAUCUCAGAUCUAUGAUGUC